AUACGGAGGGUGCAAGCGUUAAUCGGAAUUACUGGGCGUAAAGCGUACGUAGGCGGUUAUUUAAGUCAGAUGUGAAAGCCCCGGGCUUAACUUGGGAACUGCAUUUGAAACUGGGUAACUAGAGUUUAGUAGAGGGGAGUGGAAUUUCAGGUGUAGCGGUGAAAUGCGUAGAGAUCUGAAGGAACGCCAGUGGCGAAGGCGACUCCCUGGACUAGAACUGACGCUGAGGUACGAAAGCGUGGGUAGCAAACAGGAUUAGAAACCCUAGUAGUCC
rnacentral:rRNA from 1 species